GAGCACAUUUCAUUGUCCUGUUCUUCCCCUUAUAAGAAUUUAGAUAUUUCUUAUGUGCUAGAUAAAUCCUGGAGGUAAAUUAGCAGUGUGGCUCCAUUGUGCCACUGCUGCCAGUCCCCUUCAUACAAAA